GAUGCUUGCCUGUCCCAGUGGAAUUAAUGGAAGCUGUCAACAGCCCGCCCCCGACCUCACUGGAUAUAACUGUGUCCUCGGCAGACGAGAGAAUAACCAGAGGAAGGGCUGAAAAUCCUGGAGAACACCAACAUUAACAAGCUUCAGUUUGUCAGAACCAGUUGGGAUGCAACAGGAUUUUCAGUUUUGCUGCCUUCCAUGCAUGAAUGGCUGUUGGAAUGACCAAGAUGAUUUUUCCACCCAUUCUUGGGACCUGGACUAUGAUGGCCACAGCAGCUAAAGAUGCCAGGUUCUGCAUACUAUGAAACUACUACAUCAGCAGGUCCAAAGGACUCCACUGACUCAACUGAUCUGAGGGACCCCAUGAGAAGCCUACUCAUCAAAGAAUGCAGUUUCUAAAUCCUGAUGAGUUCACCCCCCUUGCCCUGACCAAUCAACAAUCCUAAUUCUCCAGUCCCUUGCCCUCCAUGAUCCUCUUAAAAACCCUAGCCCAGAAUUCCUCAGGAAGAUGGAUUUGAGGGUCUCCUUCCAACUCCUCACUCAGCGCCCUGUGGUCAUUAAACUUUCUCUGCUGCA
rnacentral:lncRNA from 1 species